rnacentral:pre_miRNA from 1 species
AAAUGUUCGCUUGGCUUUUUCCAUACUACCUUACAGAAAAACCUGAGUGAACUUUUC